UAGGGAAUAUUGGGCAAUGGGCGAAAGCCUGACCCAGCAACGCCGCGUGAAGGAAGAAGGCCCUCGGGUUGUAAACUUCUUUUAGACGGGACGAUAAUGACGGUACCGUCAGAAUAAGCCACGGCUAACUACGUGCCAGCAGCCGCGGUAAUACGUAGGUGGCAAGCGUUGUCCGGAAUUACUGGGUGUAAAGGGCGUGUAGGCGGGAAUGCAAGUCAGAUGUGAAAUUUCGAGGCUCAACCUCGAACGUGCAUUUGAAACUGUGUUUCUUGAGUGAUGGAGAGGCAGAUGGAAUUCCUAGUGUAGCGGUGAAAUGCGUAGAUAUUAGGAGGAACACCAGUGGCGAAGGCGAUCUGCUGGACAUUAACUGACGCUGAGGCGCGAGAGCGUGGGGAGCAAACA
rnacentral:rRNA from 1 species